rnacentral:rRNA from 1 species
AUAGCGUAUAUUAAAGUUGUUGCAGUUAAAAAGCUCGUAGUUGAACCUUGGGCCUGGCUGGCCGGUCCGCCUCACCGCGUGCACUGGUUCGGCCGGGCCUUUCCCUCUGGGGAGCCCCAUGCCCUUCACUGGGUGUGGUGGGGAACCAGGACUUUUACUGUGAAAAAAUUAGAGUGUUCAAAGCAGGCCUAUGCUCGAAUACAUCAGCAUGGAAUAAUAGAAUAGGACGUGUGGUUCUAUUUUGUUGGUUUCUAGGACCACCGUAAUGAUUAAUAGGGAUAGUUGGGGGCAUUAGUAUUCAAUUGUCAGAGGUGAAAUUCUUGGAUUUAUUGAAGACUAACUACUG